UCCACUGCUGAAGAUGAUGAUGAGGAACUGGUAUUUGCUGCAUCACAAUGUGAAGCACAGAUAAAUACAGAAUUAUGUCACAUCUUGCCUCAAGCUGGAUGUAUGCUUUGAGCGCAUUUCUUCGAAACCAGACCUGUUCUGGUCCGUCUCCAUCAGCGGAAACAGCAAAAGCACCAGGUCUUCCACAUCAUCCACCACCAGCUGAGCUUCCAGUUCACUGGAAAGAUCAUCUUCCACCUUUCCAGCAUGAGUGGAUACGGAACACACUAUUUAAGGCCAACCCGCGAACCGGCAAGCCAGAACUAGUGUCCCAACUGAAGCUUUGGUGGUAUCCUCCUCAGGUCCCUUUAAUUCACACUCAGCCGCCCGCCUCACCUGACCUCUUCUUCUGUCGGCCCCUUUUCUUAUGGAUGCCGCUCAAGAUGUGGCGAUUUCCUCUUGUCUGUGUUCGACCAGACUGUGAUAAGCACAAACUAACAGCCGCAGGACUUUACCGUACCGUGCGCAAAGUCUUGGACAUCGACGGUUGGUAUGAUCUUGCCACUGAGUAUCUGGAGUGCAAACGCUGCAAAAAGAAAUAUCCCGCCUGGUCCGAGGACAUUUUGGGGCAACUGGAUA